rnacentral:rRNA from 1 species
GACGAACGCUGGCGGCGUGCUUAACACAUGCAAGUCGAACGGAAAGGCCCUGCUUUUGUGGGGUGCUCGAGUGGUGAACGGGUGAGUAACACGUGAGUAACCUGCCCUUGACUUUGGGAUAACUUCAGGAAACUGGGGCUAAUACCGGAUAGGAGCUCCUGCUGCAUGGUGGGGGUUGGAAAGUUUCGGCGGUUGGGGAUGGACUCGCGGCUUAUGAGCUUGUUGGUGGGGUAGUGGCUUACCAAGGCUUUGACGGGUAGCCGGCCUGAGAGGGUGACCGGCCACACUGGGACUGAGAUACGGCCCAGACUCGUACCGGACGCAGCAGUGGGGAAUAUUGCACAAUGGGCGGAAGCCUGAUGCAGCAACGCCGCGUGCGGGAUGACGGCCUUCGGGUUGUAAACCGAUUUCGCCUGUGACGAAGCGUGAGUGACGGUACUGGGUAAAGAAGCACCGGCUAACUACGUG